rnacentral:tRNA from 1 species
GCCGGAGUAGCUCAGUUGGGAAGGCGUUAGAAUGAAGAUCUAAAUGUCCCCGGUUCGGUCCCGGAUUUCGGCA